UUGAAGCUGUUUUGUUUAGUUUAGAGAUACAGCAUUGGCCAACCGAGUGUAUGUCGCCCAUUGACCACCCAUUCACGCUAGUCUAUGUUACAUCGGGCAAUGUGCAGAGGCCUUUUAACCUAUAAACCUGCACAUCUUUGGGAUGUUGGAGGAAACCAGAGCAGCCAAGAAGACCCAUGUGGUCACAGGGAGAGUGUACAAACUCCAUACAGAUGACACCUGUGAUUCGGAUCAAACCUGGGUCUCUGGCACUGAGAGGGAGCAACUCUACCACCUAAGCCACUGUGCUACCCUUAUUGUGUUUGUUUUGUUUAUUUGCUGUCCUCGUUUUGUUUGUUGUUGGAAGUUGCAUUUUAUCUCUUUUCUAUGCACUCUUGCCGAUCUGUAGUGAUGCUUGAAAGGGGAUUUUAGAUUCUAGGGACUUUGGUAUCAGUUCUGGGAAAUGGGAGGCCGAUACAAGCUCUUAAAGUUGCACUUCAAUGGUGUUGGACCAAAAUUCUUUUGGGGAGGUUAAUUAAUUUUGUGGAGAAUUAUUCAAACUUUGGGAAAGAGAGCAGGAUAAGACCACCGCAGCAACAAGCUGAUACUGAAAGCACGGAGAAAAAAACAUGGAAAUAAAUUGAGAAAAUGAGCAAAGUAGGCCAGCAUGAUGUUGGAAUGCAUGUGUGUUAAAUAAGGAGUGUUACAAAUUAAGUUUGACAAGUCACAGUUGUAAAAUGCCACAAACAAUUAUACUGUCGUGGCUUUAAUGGGAGUGUGGCUUAAACAUCUGCAGGGGAUGACAGUUAACCAUUCCUGGGCACAAAGUGUUCAUGAGGAAGAGUUGGGGGAUAAAGGGUGAGUUUUGGUGCAAGUUGGGGAGAAAAUGUAUGGGUUGUAGUAUUGAUCAAUGGUUAAAUUCACAGAUCUAACAGAAAUUUCAAAACUGAAUCUAUUGAGAAAGUUAGAUGAAGAGAACCAGUUAUAUUGCUGGUUGUUUACCACAGGCAUGCAGAUAGUGAGAAGAAAACAGUAGAGCAAAUCAAUAGGGAGGUGUCAAUGACUAAAAAAAUAAUAUCCCAGCAGAUCUACAGUUAAUCUAACGCAUACUGAAGGUAAACAGAAUCCUUCAACAUGUAUAGGGAAAAUUAUUUAUUCCUUGUGUUUCUAGAGAUAAGAAGACGAAUGAGAUAAGAAACAUUCUCUCUAGUUCUGCAGAAUGGAGUAAGUGGAAUGGAUUUCAAUCAAAGAAUGUAGUAAUAGCAAUCAGAGACAAUAAUAUAACUGCAUGAAAAUACCCAGCUGAAAGCUAGCUAAUUACGGUGAUUUGAGGGCUUAGGACUGAUAGUUUGUAAAAUAGAACUCAAAAUGCUGGAUUAACUCAGCGGUUCAUGCAGCAUUACUGGUGGUGACCCUUCGUAGACAACAAUAGCAUGGUUGCACAGUCUCAUGUCUUGUGGUAUCGAGUGUGGCUCAAGAGUCCAUAGACUGAUAGACUUGCAGAAAAACCUGUGCAUGAGAGGGAUUGUAUUAUGUUUACAUAUUUUGUUGUGCUGCAGCAAGUAAGAAUUGAAUUGUCCUAUCUGGGACACAUCACAAUAAAACUCUCUUGACUCUUCAGGUUGAGAGGCUGCUGCACACGAACAACCCCAAUGGAUUCCAGUGGCACGGUUAAACGUUACGGCUGGAAACUCCCUUGGCUGCAUUGGACGCCCAUGUCUUCUUUCAUGCUUUAAAAUGUCCUUUUCACUCCCAGUGGGCUGCUGUGUCGCCUUCCUAACCGUUGAAUCCUCCAGUGGGUUUCCUCCGCCCAAUAUUCCAGCACAGACUUUGCAUGUUAGGCUGAGCCAGCCCCGAAACUCGCAGAGGGUUUGAGACCUGUCGGCUACCCUCACCAGGUUUAGCACGUCAGCCAAAGCGGUUUUCCAGGGUGUGGCAGCUGCCUCAUGCUAACAGCUUCUUGGAGCUACAGAUAACUGUGGGGAAGAGUUCAAGAAGGAACUGCAGAUGCUGGAAGAUCGAAGGUACACAAAAUUGCUGGAGAAACUCAGCGGGUGCAGCAGCAUCUAUGGAGCGAAGAAAAUAGGCGACGUUUCGGGCCGAAACCCUUCUUCAGACUGUGGGGAAGAGGCUGUUCUUGAAUUUGAUGUGAUUUGAAUUGACUGGACUUUGGCAUCUGGUUUGAUGAGAACAUUGGGAAGAGGUUGCGUGGGCAUCUGCCUAUCUUAUUGGAACGCACCUGCAGUUAGGCCAUUCUCACGGGGCGACUUGAUGCAAGAGUUAACCAGAGUUGAACAUCGUGGGAACCUCGUGCGAUAACCGUACGGCAUUCGUGGACCACCGUGGACCACCGUGGCGCUAACGGCAGAUACUCGUGUAACUUGGUGACUCGGGAGAAAAUUCAAGCAAGCUUGAAUUUCUCCAAGAGUGACUUGUACACUUGUGGUUGAACAUUGCAACAUUAUAUGGACGUAGUGGCCAGUGCGAUAUCCGUAAUAACUCUUGCGUUUACCAUGGGAACUCCUGCGAACGGUGAACCCGGAAGCUGGACAGAGGGGACAGAAGGUUAUGAUGAAUCCUGGAGCUGAGUAACCCUGGCAAGACAUCAGAGUAGAUUACAGAUGGCUGUGGGGAAGAAGAUGUUCCUGAACCUGGACGUUACAGUCUUCAGGCUCCUGUACCUUUUUCUUGAUGGCAGUGGUGAGAUAAGCGUGUGGCCAGGAUGGUGUGGGUCCUUGAUGAUUUUGGCUGCCUUUUUGAAGCAGCGACUAUGAUAGAUCCCUUCGACGGUGGGGAGGUUAAAGUCGGUGAUGGUCUGGGCAGUGGUCACAACUUUUUGCAGUUUUUUGUGCUCCUGGACGUUCAAGUAGCCGAACCAGUCCACGAUGCAACCAGUCAGAAUGCUCUCUACCGUGCACCUGUAGAAGUUUAGGAGAAUCCUCUUCGACAUGCCGAAUCUCCGUAAUCUUCUCAGGAAGCAAAAUUAUAUCAACAAGUGAAUCACUUCAUUGUCCAUCAUUUGCCAAAGGACGUAAUAUAAAGUAAGUGUCUAUUCCUACAAGGAAAUUGUGUGGAAAGAAUGGGGAGGUGGUGGUGGAGGAUGAAUGAUGGCGACGGGAGAAAAUAAGAACAAUGCUAAACUGUUUCUGAAGCGUUGUGCACAAGAUAAUAUUUGACUUUGCUAUUUUUAACUUAAAGAUAAAUAUACCAUUGGACAUAUACAUCAGAGUACUUUAAUUCAGUUUGGCAGAGUUUAUGUUAAAUUUUCCAACUGUGUAUGACUCAAGAGUGCCCUCGGCAGGAAAGCACCAGUUUCCAUUACAGCCUUUGCUUAUGUGCCAUGUUAAAUAAAGUCAAAAUUUCUCUCUAUUAAACAUCCUGUUUCAUAGGAAACAACUCCCACCAUUACUGUUUGGGUUAUUUUUGUUUACUCCAUCUUAUGGAUGAAAACAUGUUUUUUCCCAAACAAGAUGAUGCAGACAUCUUAUAAGAGAAUAAGUAAUUUGUCAGGUUUCUAGUUCAUAUCUGGUACUGAAUGAGCAGAAAUUUCAGGAGAACUGUAGCCACUUUCUCCAGUCACCUUUCACAGCCAGUUCUGGUAGAACUGUAGAGUUCCAAUCUGAUUGGAAGAUUACUUAGCCCUUUACCUACAGCUUGCUCUAGUUACCAUUUCACACAUGUUGUACUAUUCUGCAGCUUCACUCAGCCGCCACCUCUGGUAUUCCAAGUGCUGCUUCUCGCAUGCACUCCACGCUCAUCAUUAAAAGAGGAUUGGUUUCCUGGCUUGUUAGUAAUGGUAAUGUGAGGGAUAGGUUGGGCCAUGGAUUUCUUGUAUGUUUGCACUUUAACGUAAUAUUUAUAUUUAGGGCGGCAUGGUGGUGCAGC